rnacentral:lncRNA from 1 species
GAGAGAGGUCCAAGAAAUGAAUGAGAACAUGGAAACCGCACUGGAUGGGGAUGCAGAGGAGACAGGCCGGCUGCCUGUCUCGGGGUUACAGAAACCGGGUUCAGAAAGGACUGGGAACUCGACCGAUGUGUGGUGCCUGCACCCUCUGUCCCGCGCACUGCUUCCGGCUUUCCAGUGCAAGAGCUCUAGAAGCCACAAUUUCUAGACACAGAACUGUUCCCGAAUUCGUAUUUUACACACGCUCACACACAUGCGCCCUGCGGGGUCUGCUCCAGCAACGCCUGGAAAAAAAAUAAAGUGACAGGAAAGCUUCCCGCCUCCAGAAAGCCCCAAGCCCUCUUUUAAAAUCCAACGCUGAUUUUGGGGGAAGGGGGAGG